CCCUUAGAUGUCCGGGGCCGCACGCGCGCUACACUGAAGGAAUCAGCGUGGCUUUCUCCCUGACCCGAAAGGGUUGGGAAACCCGUUGAAUCUCCUUCGUGAUAGGGAUUGGGGCUUGAAAUUGUUCCCCAUGAACGAGGAAUUCCCAGUAAGCGCGAGUCAUAAGCUCGCGUUGAUUACGUCCCUGCCCUUUGUACACACCGCCCGUCGCUACUACCGAUUGAACGGUUUAGUGAGGGCCUCGGAUUGGUCUCGGCCCGCUCUUUACCGGGCGGCGCCGUUGGUCAAGAAGACGCUCGAACUUGAUCGUUUAGAGGAAGUAAAAGUCGUAACA
rnacentral:rRNA from 1 species